UACGUAGGGUGCGAGCGUUGUCCGGAAUUAUUGGGCGUAAAGAGCUCGUAGGCGGUCUGUCGCGUCGAUCGUGAAAACUUGGGGCUUAACCCUGAGCUUGCGGUCGAUACGGGCAUGACUGGAGUUCGGCAGGGGAGACUGGAAUUCCUGGUGUAGCGGUGAAAUGCGCAGAUAUCUGGAGGAACACCGGUGGCGAAGGCGGCAUCCUGGACCGGUAUUGACGCUGAGGCGCGAAAGCCAGGGGAGCAAACGGG
rnacentral:rRNA from 1 species